GGGUUGUUAGCUCAGUUGGUUUAGAGCAUUACCUUGACAGGGGUAGGGGUCACUGGGGUUCUGACUCCAGUGCAACUCA
rnacentral:tRNA from 1 species